UCUUUUUCCACUGGGGGUCUCAUCUGCUGCCUCUUUUAAGACUUCGGCUACUCCAAUCAACAUCCCAGGCUUCCUCCGGCCCCAUAGACACGUCACCGGCAAACCGGGAAGUCGAUGAUAUCGUCCCUUUCAGCCUGGAUGGCGAGCAGGCUACCGACGUGAAACAAAGGAUAACGUCGUGGAACAAGAGCAUUUGAGAAGGUCGGUCGGGCCGAGCGGCUUCAAUGCAGGCAGUAAGGAAAGUAACACAUCUCUUUCACUCCUUAUCAGCUUUUUCCAUCUUCGGUUCACAGCGAGCAGAUCGCUGCAAAGUGAUGAUUCAUAAGGGGCGGGGCCACGAUCCGUUUCUCCUUCUUGAGGAAUGACUCAUCAGUGACCGCGGAAGCUUACUCCAAAGGCGCAUUAUCUCUUGACUAUUUAUAGCCUCCGAAAAGGCUGAAGAAUGACGUCAGGCAAACGGUAGGCGGGCAGCGACCGGGUUUCGGCCUCGCCCUACGGUUGGUCUGGCUGCCCCCCUUGGGAUGUCUUUUGAGCGUGGAGCCAUCAAAUGUACGGUGCAAGAAUCCGGAUAACCGUUAGGUGGCAGAAAAUGGAUCCCGAAUCGGCGGAGUGUAUAAGUGGUGGUCUGGAUUUUUGGUGCUCUGAACGACAGAUCUCUACAAGGAAGAAUUUAGCCACAUGACAUCAAGUAUGAAAUGAUGACAACGAAUGCUGAAGAGCAUCAAAACAUAAUUUCAUGAACUUGGAUUCUGUAUGAGGCAGAAAUUUUGCUUUUUUGUCAUGGAUAGGACUGUGUAUCACUUUGAGAGUAAAAGAGUGACAGCUGAGAAGGCCUUGAAGUGUUGUCCAUUACUAGCCAAACCAUGGAUUGAACUUGCAUACAGGUUCCUAAGCCACCUUUCUUCAACCUGGUCUCCAUUGCAUAUUAGACUCCAACAUCAUCUGCACAGGAUCUUGGAAUGCCACUUUUGGACCAUGAGAAGCAACUGCUUAAAAAACGGAAAUGAGUUGGGCUGAUCCUGUAUGAACCAUCUUAUUGCAUUUCCCUCUGGAAGUCUCUGUUAAAAACUUCUGUGUCUCUGCUAUUAAAGAAGUGCAACUUUUUCAAGCCAGAAAAGACUGAACUAUUAAUAUGAUAUUGCCUAUGUACUUAAUAAUAUUUUCCAUCAUAUUAAAUGAUUCAUUUCUUCA